CCUACGGGAGGCAGCAGUAGGGAAUCUUCCACAAUGGGCGAAAGCCUGAUGGAGCAACGCCGCGUGGGUGAAGAAGGUCUUCGGAUCGUAAAACCCUGUUGUUAGAGAAGAAAGUGCGUGAGAGUAACUGUUCACGUUUCGACGGUAUCUAACCAGAAAGCGACGGCUAACUACGUGCCAGCAGCCGCGGUAAUACGUAGGUGGCAAGCGUUAUCCGGAUUUAUUGGGCGUAAAGGGAACGCAGGCGGUCUUUUAAGUCUGAUGUGAAAGCCUUCGGCUUAACCGGAGUAGUGCAUUGGAAACUGGGCGACUAGAGUGUAGAAGAGGAGAGUGGAACUCCAUGUGUAGCGGUGAAAUGCGUAGAUAUAUGGAAGAACACCAGUGGCGAAAGCGGCUCUCUGGUCUGUAACUGACGCUGAGGUUCGAAAGCGUGGGUAGCAAACAGGAUUAGAUACCCCGGUAGUC
rnacentral:rRNA from 1 species